rnacentral:rRNA from 1 species
GUGGCAGCCGCCGCGGUAAUACGGAGGGUGCAAGCGUUAUCCGGAUUCAUUGGGUUUAAAGGGUGCGCAGGCGGAUACUUAAGUCAGUGGUGAAAUCCCGGGGCUCAACCCCGGAACUGCCAUUGAUACUGAAUAUCUGGAAUACGGUUGAAGUGGGCGGAAUGUAGCAUGUAGCGGUGAAAUGCAUAGAGAUGCUACAGAACACCGAUUGCGAAGGCAGCUCACUAAGCCGAUAUUGACGCUCAGGCACGAAAGCGUGGGGAGCGAACAGGAUUAGAUACCCUGGUAGUCCACGCCGUAAACGAUGAUAACUCGUUGUUGGCGACACACAGUCAGCGACUAAGCGAAAGCGAUAAGUUAUCCACCUGGGGAGUACGAUCGCAAGGUUGAAACUCAAAUGAAUUGACGG